GACAUGUAUUAUUUGGAGAUGUUCAUUUCUGCGUGGUGGAAUUUUAUUAUCAAAUCCCAUUUGCUUUUAGAUAGUUGUAAACGCUGAUUUAAUUUGGUGAAGCACAAAGCUCCCUCAUUUUAUUUUAUUUAACUGUUACGCGUUUUAUUUAAAGUGUUGAUUCCAUGAUGAAUUUCAUUUUAGUUCAGCUUACUCGUUGCAUUGAAUUGGAUUCACACACUUUUGUAUUUCGUUUUAUUCCAGCCGCAAGAUGCAUUUUCUUAAUUUUCAAUUGUUUUCCAAGUGGUUCACGCAAUGUGUAUUUCAUUUUCAGCCAAGUGUUUUUAUUUUUAUUAUC
rnacentral:lncRNA from 1 species